rnacentral:rRNA from 1 species
ACGGGCUAAUACCGGAUAACACAUGAAACCGCAUGGUUUCAUGAUGAAAGACGGUUUUGCUGUCACUUAUAGAUGGACCCGCGGCGUAUUAGCUAGUUGGUAAGGUAACGGCUUACCAAGGCAACGAUACGUAGCCGACCUGAGAGGGUGAUCGGCCACACUGGAACUGAGACACGGUCCAG